rnacentral:rRNA from 1 species
GGAUGAACGCUGGCGGCGUGCCUAACACAUGCAAGUCGAGCGUGAACCCUUGGAAUGAAACUUCGGUCGAAUGAAGAGGGGGAAAGCGGCGGACGGGUGAGUAACGCGCAGGUAACCUGCCCCAUACAGAGGGAUAGCCUCGGGAAACCGGGAUUAAGACCUCAUAACACCGUUUCUUCGCAUGAAGGGAUGGUCAAAGAUUUAUCGGUAUGGGAUGGGCCUGCGUCUGAUUAGCUGGUUGGUGAGGUAACGGCUCACCAAGGCGACGAUCAGUAGCCGACCUGAGAGGGUAAUCGGCCACAUUGGAACUGAGACACGGUCCAAACUCCUACGGGAGGCAGCAGUGGGGAAUAUUGCACAAUGGGCGAAAGCCUGAUGCAGCAACGCCGCGUGAGCGAAGAAGGCCUUUGGGUCGUAAAGCUCUGUCGGGAAGGAAGAUAAUGACGGUACUUCCCGAGGAAGCCCCGGCUAACUACGUGCCAGCAGCCACGGUAAUACGUAGGGGGCGAGCGUUAUCCGGAAUUACUGGGCGUAAAGAGUGCGUAGGUGGUUGCUUAAGCGUGGGGUGAAAGGCAAUGGCUUAACCAUUGUGAGCCUCGCGAACUGGGCGACUUGAGUGCAGGAGAGGAAAGCGGAAUUCCUAGUGUAGCGGUGAAAUGCGUAGAUAUUAGGAGGAACACCAGUGGCGAAGGCGGCUUUCUGGACUGUAACUGACACUGAGGCACGAAAGCGUGGGGAGCAAACAGGAUUAGAUACCCUGGUAGUCCACGCCGUAAACGAUGAGUACUAGCUGUCGGAGGUUACCCCCUUCGGUGGCGCAGCUAACGCAUUAAGUACUCCGCCUGGGAAGUACGCUCGCAAGAGUGAAACUCAAAGGAAUUGACGGGGACCCGCACAAGUAGCGGAGCAUGUGGUUUAAUUCGAAGCAACGCGAAGAACCUUACCUAAGCUUGACAUCCUUUUGACCGAUGCCUAAUCGCAUCUUUCCCUUCGGGGACAGGAUGACAGGUGGUGCAUGGUUGUCGUCAGCUCGUGUCGUGAGAUGUUGGGUUAAGUCCCGCAACGAGCGCAACCCUUAUUGUUAGUUGCCAUCAUUAAGUUGGGCACUCUAGCGAGACUGCCCGGGUUAACCGGGAGGAAGGUGGGGAUGACGUCAAAUCAUCAUGCCCCUUAUGUCUAGGGCUACACACGUGCUACAAUGGUCGAUACAAUAAGACGCAAGCCCGCGAGGGGGAGCAAAACUGGAAAACCGAUCUCAGUUCGGAUUGUAGGCUGAAACUCGCCUACAUGAAGCUGGAGUUGCUAGUAAUCGCGAAUCAGCAUGUCGCGGUGAAUACGUUCCCGGGCCU